rnacentral:rRNA from 1 species
GACGAACGCUGGCGGCGUGCUUAACACAUGCAAGUCGAACGGAAAGGCCCUGCUUUUGUGGGGUGCUCGAGUGGCGAACGGGUGUGUAACACGUGUGUAACCCGCCCCUGACUUUGGGAUAACUCCAGGAAACUGGGGCUAAUACCGGAUAUGAGCUCUUGCUGCAUGGUGGGGGUUGGAAAGUUUCGGCGGUUGGGGAUGGGUUCGCAGCUUAUCAGCUUGUUGGUGGGGUAGUGGCUUACCAAGGGUUUGACGGGUAGCCGACCUGGGAGGGGGACCGGGGACAUUGGGACUGAGAUACGGACCAGAAGCCUACGGGAGGCAGCGGUGGGGAAUAUUGCACAAUGGGCGGGAGCCUGAUGCAGCGACGCCGCGUGCGGAAUGACGGCCUUCGAGUUGUAAACCGCUUUCGCCUGUGACGAAGAGUGAGUGACGGUAAUGAGUAAGGAAGCACCGGCUAACUACGUG